UAGCCGUAAACGAUACUCGCUAGGUGUCGGCCACGGUGCGACCGUUGUCGGUGCCGUAGGGAAGCUGUGAAGCGAGCCACCUGGGAAGUACGGCCGCAAGGCUGAAACUUAAAGGAAUUGGCGGGGGAGCACCACAACGGGUGGAGCUUGCGGUUUAAUUGGAUUCAACGCCGGAAAUCUUACCGGGACCGACAGCAACAUGAAGGCCAAGCUGAAGACUUUGCCGGAUUAGCUGAGAGGUGGUGCAUGGCGUAGUCGUGU
rnacentral:rRNA from 1 species